rnacentral:misc_RNA from 1 species
UCUCCGUAGGUGAACCUGCGGAGGGAUCAUUACAGAGUUCUCGCCCUCGCGGGUAGAUCUCCCACCCACUGUUAUCGUUACUGUGUUGCUUUGGCGGGCCGCCGGGCCCCGCUCGGCCGCCGGCUCCGGCUGGCGCGCGCCCGCCAGAGGCCCAGCAAACUCUGAAUGUUAGUGUCGUCUGAGUACUAUAUAAUAGUUAAAACUUUCAAUAACGGAUCUCUUGGUUCUG